GAACUCUCACCACGCCAGUGUCCUAAUGUGCAGUGCAGGCCAUCUCCGGCGGUGAAUUAAGCAAGAUUUUGGAUGGGAGCUGAGCCUUGACUGCGUUGCAAGUAACUAAUCUGUUGCGCAUUUCCGAGAUGGCUCCAGCUGCAGUUUGUUUUGGGCGAUGGUGUCAACACCGUGACUCAGCAGCCGCAAGGAAUAGGCUGGGAUAAGACCGAGGAAAAGAAAUAUCACUUCUGCACGUGAUUGGAUUAAAAAGUCGCACGUGACCUCCUUGUAAGGCAGACACAAGGAAAUCUGCAGAUGCUGGAAAUUCAAGCAACACACACAAAAAAUGCUGGUGGAACGCAGCAGGCCAGGCAGCAUCUAUAGGAAGAGGUACAGUCGACGUUUCGGGCCGGGACCCUUCGUCUGUAACUCAGUUGCUCAGCUGAUGAAGGCAGCACUGACACCACCUUGCGAUUUCCAAGCAGCCCCAAGAUCUCUCUGUUCAGAAAUCCCUCUGAUAUUCAGGGCCCUGAUAUUCACCGUGCACGUUCUGCCCCGGUUUAACUUCCCAAAAUCCAACACUUCACACUUAGUUAUGGAGCAAUAUAACACACCGGCCCAGCCAAUCCAUGCUGACCACAGUGCCCACCCAGUUGCCUGAGUCUCCUACCGGCCUCCCAAUGUACAGUACUUAUUCAAGUACAUCAGACGGCUGCCUUUGAGGAGUUUCUACGUUCCCUCGGGGUGCUCCCAUUUCCUCCCGGAGUCCAAAGACCAUAUAACAAUUAUAACAAUUACAGCACAAAAACAGGCCAUCUCGGCCCUUCUAAUCCGUGCCGAACUCUUACUCUCACCUAGUCCCACCGACCUACACUCAGCCCAUAACCCUCCAUUCCUUUCCUGUCCAUAUAUCUAUCCAAUUUAACUUUAAAUGACAACAUCGAACCUGCCUCAACCACUUCUGCUGGAAGCUCAUUCCACACAGCUACCACUCUCUGAGUAAAGAAGUUCCCCCUCAUGUUACCCCUAAACUUUUUGCCUUUUAACUCUCAACUCACGUCCUCUUGUUUGAAUCUCCCCCACUCUCAAUGGAAAAAGCCUAUCCAGGUCAACUUUAUCUACCCCCCUCAUAAUUUUAAAUACCUCUAUCAAGUCCCCCCUCAACCUUCUAUGCUCCAAAGAAUAAAGACCCAACUUGUUCAACCUUUCUCUGUAACUUAGGAGAUGAAACCCAGGUAACAUUCUAGUAAAUCUCCUCUGUACUCUCUCAAUUUUUAUUGACAUCUUCCCUAUAAUUCGGUGUCCAAACUGUACACAAUACUCCAAAUUUGGCCUUACCAAUGCCUUAUACAAUUUCAACAUUACAUCCCAACUUCCAUACUCAAUGCUCUGAUUAAUAAAGGCCAGCAUACCAAAAGCUUUCUUCGCCACCCUAUCCACAUGAGAUUCUGCCUUCAGGGAACUAUGCACCAUUAUUCCUAGAUCCCGACAUUUCGGACAUUUUGGUUGGCACGUUAAUUGAUCGUUGAAAACUGUCCCGUGAUUGGGCCAGCAUUAAAUUGGGGGGUCGCUGGGCAGCUCGACUCGAGGGGCCGGAAGAGCCUACUCCAUGCUGUAUCUCAAUAAAUAAAUUGAUAAUUGAUUAUUGUAUCUGCAUCAAUCACUUCCUCAGCAGCU